GACGAACGCUGGCGGCGUGCUUAACACAUGCAAGUCGAACGGAAAGGCCCUGCUUUUGUGGGGUGCUCGAGUGGCGAACGGGUGAGUAACACGUGAGUAACCUGCCCUUGACUUUGGGAUAACUUCAGGAAACUGGGGCUAAUACCGGAUAGGGGCUCCUGCUGCAUGGUGGGGGUUGGAAAGUUUCGGCGGUUGGGGAUGGACUCGCGGCUUAUCAGCUUGUUGGUGGGGUAGUGGCUUACCAAGGCUUUGACGGGUAGCCGGCCUGAGAGGGUGACCGGCCACAUUGGGACUGAGAUACGGCCCAGACUCCUACGGGAGGCAGCAGUGGGGAAUAUUGCACAAUGGGCGGAAGCCUGAUGCAGCAACGCCGCGUGCGGGAUGACGGCCUUCGGGUUGUAAACCGCCUUCGCCUGUGACGAAGCGUGAGUGACGGUAAUGGGUAAAGAAGCACCGGCUAACUACGUG
rnacentral:rRNA from 1 species